AUACGUAGGGGGCAAGCGUUGUCCGGAUUUACUGGGUGUAAAGGGCGCGUAGGCGGGCUCGUAAGUCAGAGGUGAAAUCCUGAAGCUUAACUUCAGAACUGCCUUUGAUACUGCGAGUCUGAAUUCAGAAGAGAGAGAUGGAAUUCCAGGUGUAGUGGUGAAAUACGUAGAUAUCUGGAAGAACACCAGUUGCGAAGGCGAUCUCUUGGUCUGACACUGACGCUGAGGCGACGAAAGCGGUGGGGAGAC
rnacentral:rRNA from 1 species